CAGCAGCCGCGGUAAUACGUAGGGUCCGAGCGUUGUCCGGAAUUAUUGGGCGUAAAGGGCUCGUAGGCGGUUUGUCGCGUCGGGAGUGAAAACCAGCAGCUUAACUGCUGGCCUGCUUUCGAUACGGGCAGACUUGAGGCAUUCAGGGGAGAACGGAAUUCCUGGUGUAGCGGUGAAAUGCGCAGAUAUCAGGAGGAACACCGGUGGCGAAGGCGGUUCUCUGGGAAUGUUCUGACGCUGAGGAGCGAAAGUGUGGGGAGCGAACAGGAUUAGAUACCCCAGUAGUCCCUGUCUCUUAUAC
rnacentral:rRNA from 1 species